GACUUCCAGCUGAGCAAGAACGCCGCUAGCGAUGGCGGUCGGCGGCGUGUCCUGGACGCCAUCUCCCCUACCCCCUUUUUAGGCCGCCCAGCACAAACGCCAAGAAGGAACCAAGAUAACCUAGUGAGGUGGGGUUGACAUGAAUCCUGGAACUGCAUGGCAGGGUGUUUGGAGAUUGUAGCAGGUUAUGGGCCUUUAAGUGACCUCAGUUUCUCCAAAGAGCCCAGACUGGAUGAAGCAUGAAUUUAGCCCAGCAGUAGUCCCACAGUUCUAUGAGAAACUGUUGCCCUCACCACCUGACUUAACUCUGGCCUCUCUGAUAUGCAGUGUAAAGUUGAGGAAAUGCACCUGGAGUACCUCUAACGAGUGCUCAUGAGGGGCUAUCAUCACGAUUAUUAAUUAUUAACAAGAGCCAGGCAGCCUGAAAUGCAGCAUACGCGGACUAAAACGAGCCCUGCUGCCUCCAGCUUUUGAGAGGGAGGAGGAUGAGGUUUGGAAAGAUGCCCUCCAGUGGAAGCAUUUCCUUGGGCCAGUGCUGAAAAGGACCCCUGAGCAGGUCCCUGGAACCAAUGCUGAAGUGGUGGAAACAAAGAGGACUCCCAGAAAACCCAUCCUGCUGCCCUCUGCCCACUACCCCCCCUCAGGGGUGGGGGUGGGGGCUGCUCAGAUGGUGGGAGAUUCCUUCUAUUGAGAACCCCUCUUCCCACCCCAGCCACUUUGCUGUUCUGGGGGAGGGGAAUGGGAGCCACUUUCAUUGUCCCUGAACACUGGCUGGCAGGAGGCCCAGGGAGGGGGGUCCCCAAUAGGGAAUCUGCAGCUGCCUGUCUUUAAGGUAAAAUUACCGUAAUUACUCCAAUUACCAAAUCCAUCAAGAGCGUUGGAUUGAGGAGGCCGGUGAACAAUCAGUUCUGAGGAGUGUGAGUCAUGGGGGUGGGGGCGCAAAGUGCAGGAGGGAGUGGGGCUGAUGUUAGACCAGGCUCUUGAUUAGGGUGGGGGUGGGGAAACACAGAGAAAGCAUAAUUAGCCAAGAUUCCACUUUGCUCCCACAAUGCGAUUUUCCUCCUAUGUUGGAAAUAAUUAUUUUUAAUUUUUUAUGAUUUCAUUUUAUUAUUUUAUUGUCUUUUUAGGGCCCCACCAGUGGCACAUGGAGGUUCCCAGGCUAGGGGUCAAACAGGAGCUGUAGCCGCCGGCCUACGCCACAGCCACAGCAACGCCGGAUCCGAGCCACGUCUGUGACCUACACCACAGCCCACAGCAACCCCGGAUCCUUAACCCACUGAGCAAGGCCAGGCAGCAGACAUGUGUCCUCAUGGUUACUGGUUAGAUUGGUUUCUGCUGAGCCACAAUGGGAACUCUGAAAUAAAUUUUUUAAAAACCCUCUUGCUGGCCACACCCCAAGUCCAGCUGAUGUGGUUCAUCUUUACCCUCUAUGAGAGUUAAAAGUAAACAAAACAAAAAGAACAGCAGCUGGCACCUCUCGUAGGCUCUUGCUCUGGGCCAAGCCCUGUGCAAAGAGCUCUGCAAGUUUCAUCCCUUCCAACACCAUGGAGCAGGUUUAGUCCCAUUUUACAAAUGUGGGCUUCGUGCCUCUCCUCUUGGCUUAGAUGCUCCGGACACAAGACCCUGGGUGUGGUUUGUCUCCGUCCCCCUUGCUCUUGCCUCACCUAGUAAAUCUGGUUCUGGCACAUGCUCAAGAGAUAGUUGGUGAAGGAAAUGAAGUACCAGGCUGGCAGGCUUGGUGGGUUCCUGGGAAAAAUCACCACACUGGCCAGACCCCCUGAAAUCACCUCAUCUCCUCCCUCCUAUGCCUUCUCCAUCCAACCUACAGCCUAGAUAUUGGGGCCUGGAGCUCCUGUGGGGCUCAUGGAGCAUGGAAGAGGACCAUGGCCGCCAGACGUACCCCACUGAGACAGAACAGUGACCCUCAUCACCCAUGAGGAGGCUUCAGCGCUGUGGAGUAGUAUAUGUUUUAUCACUAUUCAAAAUCUAUGCAUAGGGAGUUCCCAGUGUGGCCCAGCAGGUGAAGAAUCCAACUAGUAUACAUGAGGAUGUGGGUUUGAUCCCUGGCCUUCCUCAGUGGGUUAAGGAUCCAGUGUUGCCACAAACUGUGCCAUAGGUAGAAGAUGUGCCUCGGAUCUGGUGUUGCUGGGGCUGUGGUGUAGGCCGGCACUGCAGCUCUGGUUUGACCCCUAGCCUGGGAACUUCCAUAUGCUGCAGGUGCGGCCCUGAAAAGCAAUAUAUAUAUCAAUGCCAUCCAUCCCCAGAACUUUUUCAUCUUCUCAAAGAGAAACUCUGGGCGUUCCCGUUAUGGCUCAGUGGUUAACGAAUCUGACUAGGAACCAUGAGGUUGUGGGUUCGAUCCCUGGCCUUGCUCAGUGGGUUAAGGAUCUGGCAUUGCUGGGAGCUGUGGUGUAGGUCGCAGACAAGGCUCGGAUCCCGCAUUGCUGUGGCUGUGGUGUAGGCCGGCGGCUGCAGCUCCGAUUCGACCCCUAGCCUGGGAACCUCCAUAUGCCGCGGGAGCAGCCUGAGAAAUGGCAAAAAGACAAAAAAAAAGAAAAAAAAAGAAAAAA
rnacentral:lncRNA from 1 species